GGAAGACGGGAGCGAAACAAACUUUUUGGCACGGUUUGGAAAAAAACGGAUGCGGAGCUACCCCAGUGGAGCGGAGAAGAGGAGAAGGCGAGAGAGGAAUAGUUUGUUUUUUUAAUCAAAACUAGACAGCCAGACGCUCUUGAUAGUAGCACAGCCGAGAAGAAUGCAGUAGUUUCAGGGAUGGAGCUGAGAGUGACGCUUUUCAUCACAAACCCUACAUGGAUGUGGAGGGAUGUGGUUUGCCUUGGGCCCCCAAAGGACUAAAUCCACUCCUGAAUGCAGAAAUACUUGCCACCUGGAAGACCAGGUGGUCCAGCGAUACUUCACAGAGAAGGCGGGGCUCAGGGCUUCUACCAGCACGUUUGACAGCUGCAAAAUCCAUAGGCUACGGGAUUCAGAACUCUACGAGGGCAGACGAACCGCCGUGCAAUGCAGAUUAGAAAGCUGCUAAAACCCCUCCACAACACAACCCAACACCUGACCAGCAACAGAACCACAAAGACGGGGCUUGAACACACCUCUCCCUCCUGGCGAAACACACAUGGGUGUGCAUGGCACAGGGGCCAUCAUGAACAUGGCUCAUUGCAGAAAUAAACAAAAACCCAGCAAAAGUGGAAAAAUAGAACAAGAGAUGCCAUGUAAUGUAACUAGAAAAACCUAAAAUGUUGAUACUAAUAAAACACAAUGUUUUCUCUUCAAAUAUAUGUAUAAUGUUUUUUUUUUAUUACAAAUAUCAAUGGACAGCUGGGCAGCCCUGACGUAAAAAGACAAAGACAAGUAGAUGAAACAAAACCAGUGAGCUGGCAUUGUUCAACUACAACAAGCUGGAACAAUUAACUCUGCACUUCAGCCAAUAAGGAACUUACAUAUACUACCUGCCACUUAUGUGUAUUUUUUUUUGAUGCAGCUGAUUGGUUUCACCUCACAAGCAUUGACCAAUGCCAUUACAAAUAACUUGAGAGACCAACCUGAGCAUCAGAUAAACAUUGUAAUAUAGUUAGUAAUACUGAAGAAAAGCAUUAUAUUUGUCAAUACCCUUGACUUUGAUGAAGAGUAGCUCACAUUUUACGACAAAUUUAUUCAGAGAGUCAUGGAAUUUCAAAAGGUUUUCAUACUUUUCUAGACACUUUAGAUUUUUAUACCUGAUACCCUUCCUGACGCAACCUUGGCCAAGAAUCAAACUCAUGUAUACGAUUAAAGGUCAAAUGUACAAUUGUCAAGUAUAAAAUAAGAAAAGUGUGUUCAUAAAUGUGAUAGGUGAA